GACGAACGCUUGCGGCGUGCUUAACACAUGCAAGUCGAACGGAAAGGCCCUGCUUUUGUGGGGUGCUCGAGUGGCGAACGGGUGAGUAACACGUGAGUAACCUGCCCUUGACUUUGGGAUAACUUCAGGAAACUGGGGCUAAUACCGGAUAGGAGCUCCUGCUGCAUGGUGGGGGUUGGAAAGUUUCGGCGGUUGGGGAUGGACUCGCGGCUUAUCAGCUUGUUGGUGGGGUAGUGGCUUACCAAGGCUUUGACGGGUAGCCGACCUGAGAGGGUGACCGGCCACAUUGGGACUGAGAUACGGCCCAGACUCCUACGGGAGGCAGCAGUGGGGAAUAUUGCACAAUGGGCGGAAGCCUGAUGCAGCAACGCCGCGUGCGGGAUGACGGCCUUCGGGUUGUAAACCGCUUUCGCCUGUGACGAAGCGUGAGUGACGGUAAUGGGUAAAGAAGCACCGGCUAACUACGUGCCAGCAGCCGCGGUGAUACGUAGGGUGCGAGCGUUGUCCGGAUUUAUUGGGCGUAAAGGGCUCGUAGGUGGUUGAUCGCGUCGGAAGUGUAAUCUUGGGGCUUAACCCUGAGCGUGCUUUCGAUACGGGUUGACUUGAGGAAGGUAGGGGAGAAUGGAAUUCCUGGUGGAGCGGUGGAAUGCGCAAAUAUCAGGAGGAACACCGGUGGCGAAGGCGGUUCUCUGGGCCUUUCCUGACGCUGAGGAGCGAAAGCGUGGGGAGCGAACAGGCUUAGAUACCCUGGUAGUCCACGCUGUAAACGGUGGGUACUAGGUGUGGGGUCCAUUCCACGGGUUCCGUGCCGUAGCUAACGCUUUAAGUACCCCGCCUGGGGAGUACGGCCGCAAGGCUAAAACUCAAAGGAAUUGACGGGGCCCCGCACAAGCGGCGGAGCAUGCGGAUUAAUUCGAUGCAACGCGUAGAACCUUACCUGGGUUUGACAUGGAUCGGGAGUGCUCAGAGAUGGGUGUGCCUCUUUUGGGGUCGGUUCACAGGUGGUGCAUGGCUGUCGUCAGCUCGUGUCGUGAGAUGUUGGGUUAAGUCCCGCAACGAGCGCAACCCUUGUUCACUGUUGCCAGCACGUUAUGGUGGGGACUCAGUGGAGACCGCCGGGGUCAACUCGGAGGAAGGUGGGGAUGACGUCAAGUCAUCAUGCCCCUUAUGUCCAGGGCUUCACGCAUGCUACAAUGGCUGGUACAGAGGGUGGCGAGCCUGUGAGGGUGAGCGAAUCUCGGAAAGCCGGUCUCAGUUCGGAUUGGGGUCUGCAACUCGACCUCAUGAAGGCGGAGUCGCUAGUAAUCGCAGAUCAGCAACGCUGCGGUGAAUACGUUCCCGGG
rnacentral:rRNA from 1 species